GGCGGCAUGGCCGAGUGGUAAGGCGGGGGACUGCAAAUCCUUUUUCCCCAGUUCAAAUCCGG
rnacentral:tRNA from 1 species